rnacentral:sRNA from 1 species
CGGAAGGGUUUCUAGGGAUCCGGGAAGCGGGCCGCCAUGCGCCGCCCUCUCUUCGUCCGAACCGAGCGAAACCGCCGCGGCGCGAUAGGCCGUGUACACCGUAGGGAUAAAAGACCUUCGGAA